rnacentral:misc_RNA from 1 species
AUUCUUUCUUCAUAAAUGCUACGCACUGCUCAUUUAUAUGACCCUACAUGAAUGAAAUCAUAUACAACUACUUUACCUUUCUAAAAAUCAUGCCACCGCAUGAUAGUGCCUUAUAAAUAAUUCAAAUUUAUGUAACCUUCACCUCCUUCAAGACAAGGUUCCCCUAGCUAAAGCUAGUUAACUAGCAUCAAGAAUUAUAACAGUUCAAAAAAUGGCCAAGGCUAGUGAUCUUCUUCUGAUACUAGUGCUUCUUUUGUCUCUUAUGUUUCAAUAUAAAGUGGCUACCAGGAUUGGCACAGAUUGUGCUCUUUCUUGCCUUAAUGAAAGAAAAGGAGCAGAAAAGCAUGUAGACAUGGAAGAUGAUUCAGGAGAUGAAGCUGCCCAAGGAGAUUAUGACUAUUAUAGAAGGUAUGGUGAUGUUCCAAGCCCUGGUAUUGGCCACUGAAGGCACAGUCGAGUUCUUGUCUCCUUGCAGCUGCUAUUUUUUUUCCCCUUCUUUGCUAUACAUAUGUUUUUAUGUUAUUGUGUUAGUUCUCAUCUUCAUUAUGUUAUGCAUACAACUAUUUCUUUUGCUUUAUUUUUCCUGUGUUCAUAAAUUAGCAUUUCAGUAAGGAUUUUGGCUAGUCCAUGGUUUUAUAGUGG